rnacentral:rRNA from 1 species
AAAGCGUGCGCAGGCGGUUAUACAAGACAGGCGUGAAAUCCCCGGGCUUAACCUGGGAAUGGCGUCUGUGACUGUAUGACUAGAGUGUGUCAGAGGGGGGUAGAAUUCCACGUGUAGCAGUGAAAUGCGUAGAUAUGUGGAGGAAUACCAAUGGCGAAGGCAGCCCCCUGGGAUAACACUGACGCUCAUGCACGAAAGCGUGGGGAGCAAACAGGAUUAGAUACCCUUGU